rnacentral:rRNA from 1 species
UGUCGUGAGAUGUUGGGUUAAGUCCCGCAACGAGCGCAACCCUUAUCCUAUGUUGCCAGCGCGUCAUGGCGGGGACUCAUAGGAGACUGCCGGGGUCAACUCGGAGGAAGGUGGGGAUGACGUCAAGUCAUCAUGCCCCUUACGUCUUGGGCUGCACACAUGCUACAAUGGCCGGUACAAAGGGCUGCGAUACCGCAAGGUGGAGCGAAUCCCAAAAAGCCGGUCUCAGUUCGGAUCGGGGUCUGCAACUCGACCCCGUGAAGUCGGAGUCGCUAGUAAUCGCAGAUCAGCAUUGCUGCGGUGAAUACGUUCCCGGGCCUUGUACACACCGCCCGUCACGUCACGAAAGUCGGUAACACCCGAAGCCGGUGGCCCAACCCUUGUGGGGGGAGCCGUCGAAGGUGGGACCGGCGAUUGGGACGAAGUCGUAACAAGGUAGCCGUACCGGAAGGUGCGGCUGGAUCACCUCCUUUCUAAGGAGCUUUCUGGCUGGGUGUCUUCUGUAGUGGAGGGUGUCUGGUCCAGAGCGAAGACCAGCUGGAUGGUUGGUCUGGGUGCUCAUGGGUGUGGAACGCUGACUAUGUUUCUGUCUGGUCUGGUCUGUUGUCCGGGGUUCCUGUGUGUUCUCUGGGUGGUGGGUUGUCUGGGUGGAUCCGUCCACUGUUAGGUUGUGAGGGAGUGAGUGGC